rnacentral:rRNA from 1 species
CGUGUAGGCGGUUUUUUAAGUCUGAUGUGAAAGCCCCGGGCUUAACCUGGGAAGUGCAUUGGAAACUGGAAGACUUGAGUACGGGAGAGGAAAGCGGAAUUUCGAGUGUAGGGGUGAAAUCCGUAGAUAUUCGAAGGAACACCAGUGGCGAAGGCGGCUUUCUGGACCGAUACUGACGCUGAGACGCGAGAGCGUGGGGAGCAAACAGGAUUAGAUACCCUGGUAGUCC